rnacentral:rRNA from 1 species
ACUUAAGCAUAUCAAAA